UACGUAGGCAGCGAGCGUUGUUCGGAGUUACUGGGCGUAAAGCGUGCGUAGGCGGUUUUGUAAGUUUGGUGUGAAAUCUCCCGGCUCAACUGGGAGGGUGCGCCGAAAACUGCAAGGCUGGAGUGUGGGAGAGGUAGGCGGAAUUCCUGGUGUAGCGGUGAAAUGCGCAGAUAUCAGGAGGAACACCGGUGGCGAAGGCGGGUCUCUGGGCCGAUACUGACGCUGAGGAGCGAAAGCGUGGGGAGCGAACAGG
rnacentral:rRNA from 1 species